rnacentral:rRNA from 1 species
UACAGAGGGUGCGAGCGUUUAAUCGGAAUUACUGGGCGUAAAGCGCGCGUAGGCGGCUUUGCAAGUCGGGUGUGAAAUCCCCAGGCUUAACCUGGGAACUGCAUUCGAGACUGCAUUGCUAGAGUAUGGGAGAGGGAAGUGGAAUUUCCGGUGUAGCGGUGAAAUGCGUAGAUAUCGGAAGGAACAUCAGUGGCGAAAGCGACUUCCUGGACCAAUACUGACGCUCAUG